rnacentral:rRNA from 1 species
UACGGAGGGGGCUAGCGUUGUUCGGAAUUACUGGGCGUAAAGCGCACGUAGGCGGCUUUGUAAGUUAGAGGUGAAAGCCCGGGGCUCAACUCCGGAAUUGCCUUUAAGACUGCAUCGCUAGAAUUGUGGAGAGGUAAGUGGAAUUCCGAGUGUAGAGGUGAAAUUCGUAGAUAUUCGGAAGAACACCGGUGGCGAAGGCGGCCUGCUGGGCAGUAGCUGACACUGAGGCGCGACAGCGUGGGGAGCAAACAGG